rnacentral:misc_RNA from 1 species
GUGAAUCAUCAAAUCUUUGAACGCAAAUUGCACUCUCCUCGGAGAGUAUGCCUGUUUGAGGGUCAGCCUAUAAAAAAUCGACAUCGUUGCUGUUUCGCGGUGGCGUUCGUCGGAAAUUGGGUCAUCUUAAAUCUUUUGGUUUUAAGCGACUUAAAAUUUUCUUUUUGGUUCCAUGAACGUUUCUAAGAUUUAUUUCUUUACACGUUUAAGGUAUCGAUUUUUUUUGGCGUUACCCAUAAUAUCGAAUCGCCCCAUUAAU